GAUGUUUGGAUCAUGUGAAGACAUGGAACAAAUAGGAAUCUCUAUAUAUAGUUUUGUGUGUUCAUGGACAUAUUGAUUUUAAUCUUUAUGACCAAAAGUUGAUGCUCUAUGCAUGACCAAACAAAAGCCCUUUUUUACUAAAGAAAAAGGCUCCAUUCAACAGGCCCAAAAAACGAACCACUAUCUCACUCUUUAAUUGUCAUAACCAAGGCACAAAAACAAAACUUAAGGAAGGUUCAUACUUCAUAUUCGCAGAAAAAGGUUCAUACUUCAUAUUCGCAGAAAACCAGCAAAAAGAAAAAAGAAAUGUUGAGAAGUCUUCAACUGGAGUCUGGUUACAGAAUCAUCUUAGCUUUGAGACUCUCUUCCCUGCUAAUUUUCUUUUCUUCGGUUCUGAGUGCUCGUGGCUACCCUUCAAGAGCUCAUAUCUUCAUAUAUGCAGUCUGUUCUCAAGAAAAAUACCAACCAAACUCACCCUUUGAAGGCAACCUUAACAGCUUUCUGUCUUCAGUUGUCAGUUCAUCCUCUGAUAUAACUUACAAUAGUUUUGCUGUUGGAAAUGGAAGCCUAACACCGCAAGAAGGAAGUGUAUACGGCUUAUAUCAGUGCAGAGGCGAUUUGCAUCCAAUUGAUUGCUCAAAGUGUGUAGGAAGACUUGUUAACCAAAUAGGGUUGGUUUGUCCCUAUGCCCUUGGGGCUUCUUUGCAACUUGAAGGCUGCCUUGUAAGAUAUGAGCAUGCUGGUGAUUUCCUGGGCAAACUGGACACCAGUCUCAGAUAUAAGAAAUGUAGUAAAGCCGCGACUAGCGACGUCGAGUUCUUCCAUCGCAGAGACGAUGUUCUUGCUGAUUUGCAAACAGCUAAUGGAUUUAGAGUCAGUAGUUCAGGCAUAGUUGAAGGAUUUGCACAAUGCUUGGGGGAUUUAAGUGUAUCAGAUUGCUCCUCUUGUAUAGCAGAUGCAGUUGGAAAGCUGAAAAGCUUAUGUGGAUCAGCAGCAGCAGCUGAUUUGUUCUUGGGACAAUGUUAUGCUCGAUACUGGGCCUCUGGUUAUUAUCAUGAAUCAGUGAACCUCAGCAUCCCACUGGUUUCAUUCAAGUACUGACUUGAUUUGGCAUAAAGCUGCAAUUGAAAGAAGAUAGCAUGGAAUCUGAGAAACAUGUUUUAACCACCAACAACUAAAGAUUCCUCCAACAAUGAUCAAGUGGGGAAAUCGGUUGCCAUUAUUGUGGGAGUGUUUGCAGGUCUUGCCGUUCUAGUUGUAAUCCUCUCAAUUUGCAAAACAGCAGCGGGUUAAGAGAGAGGUGCUAAAAGGGGUAAUCAUUACGAAAGGUCCUCAAAUGUUUGUUUAAAUUUAUUGAAAACCUUGCUUCCACAUUUUGAUCAAUUUAAUACGUUAUGUUUUUCCACCAAAGAAAAUGGAUGUAAUCUUUUAGUUUAUAAAGAACUAAAAGUAGAACUCUGUUAUCCAUCAACUUAGAAAGUGCAGCCGAUUGUCUUUGCCUUGGUGAUGUCCAACAAAACCCAUCAUUCUUUUCCAUAUUUUAAAAUCAUUUGUAGAUUAUUCUGUUGAUUACUUCUUCCUAAAUUACUUUGCCUUUUUAUUGUGUUGA